GCAGACUCUCAGGUCAGAUGGUGAGGGCUGAUUGCGGGAGGUGGACAAGAAGUCUGGCCUAAUGACUAAGGACAGCUAACGCCUAACUCCGUUCCUCAUCACUCCACCUGGGUAAGAGCAUUUGGUGCAACGAGCCAGUUUCGAGCCUGUGAAGGACCGUGGGGCAAGGUGACCGAUGCCGCUACCUCUUUGUCAUUCAGUAGCCCUCUUUACCUGUUUUGGCCUCGCUGCUAGGGCUGUCGCCGAGCUUACACGGACUCCAGGUGAUGAGUUUUUCUUGAGUCACUGCAAAGGCAGUUUCACUAGGCUUCACUUUUCUUUCUCGCGGUUUUCGGCCAGGUCUCUCCUGAGACACUCCUAUCUCCCGGUCCCGACACCAGCACCAAGCGCUCAGAAGCAGCGGAACUGGCAACACCUUGGUGCCCUAGACGGAAACCUCAGUCCCGACUGAAGCGUAUUCAUCACCAACACUGGGAUAGCUGCAGCUAGGGCCACACAAUAAAAAUAGCCCAGGACGGCACUGGCUAUCCGCUGCCCCUUCAGCUAUAGAAUUCCUGUCCUUAAUCGCUUUUAGUUCUGUAACUGCUUGUGGAAACAGCUGAUUACUGGACAGGUGGGAGUACGAAAGGCGUUUAGUAAGACUGCAAAUCUGAUGUGAACUGGUAGGACGCAGAGUGUAUGGCAUAGUCAAGAAAGAAGUCAACGCCAGGCGAGGUGCUAUGGCUAAGGGAUUAAUCUUUUGUGUCCCAACUAUGUUGCUCUGACGGUUCCACUUGCACUACUGGUUUUUACUUCAUCGUUAAUCUCUGCUCUGGCCGAUAACAGCCUGCAUGAAAACAUCACCAGUUUUCAAGUUUUUCUCAGGAUGAACAGUACAUAGAAAAGUGAGCCUGAAUGCUGAGAUCCUGAGACCGUGCUGCGGCGCCUGGGAAUUCAUAGAGCAGCUUUUAAGGGGCCACCACUUCUCGCAUCGUGUGCCAUGCAAGUAAACCUACCCUAUCCUGAGACCCUUGCCUGGGGUGACUGGAAGAGCUGCUUCUGUAGAAUCCUGGGCCAGACCAUCUAUCUGGACGAAUAGGAGAAAAGCCUAGUUGUUGUCUCCUGCAAGAUGUAUUCAGUUGUAAUUUCGCCUUUGUUCCUUAAUCUGUUAGUAUGGUAUAUUACAUCGAUUAAUAUUUCAUAUUAAAUCAGUCAUGAAUUCCCAUUAUGAGCCCCACUUGCUCAUGAUUGAAGAUAUUUCUUAUAUGUUGCAGAUUGACUCUUGGUAUUAUUUGUCCAUUUUUGUACUCACCUAGCACACACAUACAAAAU
rnacentral:lncRNA from 1 species